GACGAACGCUGGCGGCGUGCUUAACACAUGCAAGUCGUACGGUAAGGCCCUUUCGGGGGUACACGAGUGGCGAACGGGUGCGUAACACGUGAGUAACCUGCCCACAACUUUGGGAUAACGCUAGGAAACUGGUGCUAAUACUGGAUAUGUGCUCCUGCUGCAUGGUGGGGGUUGGAAAGCUCCGGCGGUUGUGGAUGGACUCGCGGCCUAUCAGCUUGUUGGUGGGGUAGUGGCCUACCAAGGCGGCGACGGGUAGCCGGCCUGAGAGGGUGACCGGCCACAUUGGGACUGAGAUACGGCCCAGACUCCUACGGGAGGCAGCAGUGGGGAAUAUUGCACAAGGGACGCAAGCCUGAUGCAGCAACGCCGCGUGCGGGAUGACGGCCUUCGGGUUGUAAACCGCUUUCAGCAGGGACGAAGCUUUUUGUGACGGUACCUGCAGAAGAAGCACCGGCUAACUACGUG
rnacentral:rRNA from 1 species